ACGGGGUGCAGCAGGCGCGAAACCUUUGCAAUACACGCAAGUGUGACAGGGCCAUCCCGAGUGCCGACCGCUGAGGUUGGCUUUUAAUCAGUCUAGAAAGCUGGGAGAAUAAGGAGAGGGCAAGUCUGGUGUCAGCCGCCGCGGUAAUACCAGCUCUCCGAGUGGUGUGGACGUUUAUUGGGCCUAAAGCAUCCGUAGCUGGCUGAACAAGUCCCCUGUUAAACCCAACGAUUUAAUCGUUGGCUUGCGGGGGAAACUGCUCGGCUAGGAGACGGGAGAGGCAGAUGGUAUUCUCGGGGUAGGGGUGAAAUCCUAUAAUCCCGAGAAGACCACCAGUGGCGAAGGCUGUCUGCUAGAACGCGCUCGACGGUGAGGGAUGAAAGCUGGGGGAGCGAACCGGAUUAGAUACCCGGGUAGUCCCAGCUGUAAACGAUGCAGGCUAGGUGUUAGGGCGGCUACGCGCCGCUCUAGUGCCGCAGGGAAGCUGUUAAGCCUGCCGCCUGGGGAGUACGGCCGCAAGGCUGAAACUUAAAGGAAUUGGCGGGGGAGCAC
rnacentral:rRNA from 1 species